UUUUAAAUAAAGUUAAUUAAUAAGAAAUUAAAUGAAAUCAUUAAAUUAAAAAAAUUUGGCGGUAUUUUAAAUAGUUAGAGGAAUUUGUUAAUUAAAUGAUAGUCCACGAAUGGAAUGUCCUAGUAAAGUUUUAUGUAUUGUUGUAUAAAAAUUAUUUUAUAAGAAAUAUAAUUAAAAUAUUUUAUUUAAUUUGAAUUCAAAUCAAAAUGUAGAAUUAUUAGGUGAGUAUGAGUUACAAUUUAAUGUAAUAUGAUAAUUAUUUUUUUAAUUAAAAUAAUUGGGUAGGAUUUAAAAGUAAAUUUAAAAAAAUUUUUAAAUUGAAAUAUUAAUUAAAAA
rnacentral:rRNA from 1 species